GUUUCUUUGUUGGGUCUCCUCAUUGAAUUAAGACUUCGAUUGAUGGUAUUCGUUUCAAAAUAUAUAUCAAUUUAAGUCAGAAUCCGAUUCCAAUUAACUUCUUUGGUUUUUAGGCGGAACCGCCUAUUGCAAUUGCUUGUAUGACCUUCUACGUCAAAGGUCAAAUUCCUGCCCAAUUUCGUGGUAAAUCUAUCGGAUGUUUUUUAAACUAAGGGCACACAACUCUCUAACCUCCGCCCCCCCCCACCCCAACUGUUCGACCCCCGUUUAAACAUCGUUUUUUAAUAAUAGAACUGUGGUAUGUCUCUAAAUUUUUAGUUCAUCGUUUUUAAUUAUCCAUUGAAAAUGCCUACAGCAAAGAUAGCAAGUGGUAGAUCUAUGAGUUUACGUUUUUGAUAGUACAGGAACGAACGAUAACUCUUGCGAUGGUAUGCGACAUAAACAAAGGAUAAGCACGGAGUCUGAUGCCUGUAGAUAAAAUUGCGAGGGAAAAAAUAGUUCAAUUUGAAAUUGCAUGUUUAUGAAUACAGAAGAAAAAAUUGAGAGGGAAACAGGUAAUGAAUGCUUUUUUAAAAAACAAUGGUGGGUAUAAAUCGAUUUAAAAAAGAUUAUUAGAAUGAUACCAUGCCUGUAAAUUAUUUGUAAACAUACCAACGUUUCGCGUAGUAAUCUCAGAUGCAGUGUAAAAUUUUUGUCAACAAACCCACGUUGAGAACAACUGGUUGCUAUCCAUCUUCGACAUAGUAAGAUGAAUGUCAAGAAACUGAUUAACAUUAACUGACAAGAGGAGACAAUGAGAGCCCAACAUCAUUCUUCAUCUCUGGUGAAGGGGAGAGUUGCUAAAUUUGGGCGCACAGCAAAAUUCAAGCAAAACAAAGAAAAAGACGGAUGCGAUAAAUGCGGUGUUGGCUUCCCAGUUCAGAACUGUUAAAGAGGGACAAACAUUGCACGUUUGCAACAUCUAAGUGGAAGCAGGGCAUCUAAAAUAUGCUGGAAUCCUCAUCUUAAUGGCCUUAACACCAUUUUCAAGAAUAUCCUGCUGAAAAAGAUAGCUGCCAUUGGUAUAAUGGAUGCAAGACAACACUAGUGAAUUUAAAUUGUUGUUACCACAAUUGGCACACUCCAGGAUUACACGCUUUCCAAAAACACAAUUACGGCAUGCAGCUAUAAAGGGAUUCUUUGGAAGUCUAUGUUCUGUAAUGGGGGAAGUUCUCUUGAAGAUUCCAUUAGUAUUAAAAUAAAAACGUAAAAGUUCAAAAGUCUUCAGUACUAGAGACCUGUGAUUUGACAGUACAACAUGGAGCAAAUGUAAAGGAAACAUAAUUUGUACAUUAUUGAAUAUUAAUCUAUAGUUAUCUACAAAUUACUUGGCUUUUACAUUGUAUUGUAAUUCUCAACAUUUGCAUAUAUGUCUGAUCUUUGUAAAAUAUUGUUGGUGUACAGUACAGUAAGUAAAUACAUUCUUUCUAAGUUUGAAACAUUUGUCAACAAAAUGUAUGAACUGCAGUCUGAGGAUCAUUUAGAGGUCUGCAAUUCUCCACAUAUAAAAUGACUUUGAAUUCACCCUGUUACUGUUAAACUUGAGAAUAAAUUAAGAAAACUUCAAAAUCUCUUUAUUGAUUACCUUUUUUACUACACAUUGUCCAGAUAUUUUGUGUAUUAUUCUAUAAAGCUGAUUUCUCAAUGGCUAUUGCUUCCCAGGAAAGCAAAGUGACACACAGAUUACUUGAUUGUGUAAAAUACCGUAAUCAAGUUAUGUACAAAUGUAACGUCUGUAUUUUGGUGAAACAUUAUUGUAAGGAAUAAAAUACUGCAGAUUCAGAAGUUCAGUUUACUAAAUUUUAAUACUAUAAUAUUCUUUCAUCAUUUUGAUAUCAAAAUGACUAUUUUAAAAAAAAUCAUGAAAAAUAAAAAUGUAUUCCUGUAAUUUCAGCUUGCAUUUAAGUAUCAACUGUUAUACAAAUGUACUUCACAAAAUAAAUGUUUUGAUGUUUAAAUUGCUUUUCUCAUCUAAUCUUUAUUUAAGGCAUGAUCGAGACUAAUCUGGUGCAGUAACUGAGUAUUUCCACGUUUACUACAUGUAUAUACCUUAAUAGACAUAUUAGAAUAGUGUUUUCUAUUAUCAAACUAAUUCUUAAAAAGAAAAUAGUUAUAACACCAUGACAUUGAUAACUUGCAA